GGCUCAGGAUGAACGCUAGCUACAGGCUUAACACAUGCAAGUCGAGGGGAAACGACAUCGAAAGCUUGCUUUUGAGUGGGCGUCGACCGGCGCGACGGGUGAGUAACGCGUAUCCAACCUGCCCACCACUUGGGGAUAACCUUGCGAAAGUAAGACUAAUACCCAAUGAUAUCUCUAGAAGACAUCUGAAAGAGAUUAAAGAUUUAUCGGUGAUGGAUGGGGAUGCGUCUGAUUAGCUUGUUGGCGGGGUAACGGCCCACCAAGGCGACGAUCAGUAGGGGUUCUGAGAGGAAGGUCCCCCACAUUGGAACUGAGACACGGUCCAAACUCCUACGGGAGGCAGCAGUGAGGAAUAUUGGUCAAUGGAGGCAACUCUGAACCAGCCAAGUAGCGUGCAGGAUGACGGCCCUAUGGGUUGUAAACUGCUUUUAUGCGGGGAUAAAUUGACUCACGUGUGGGUUAUUGCAGGUACCGCAUGAAUAAGGACCGGCUAAUUCCGUG
rnacentral:rRNA from 1 species